rnacentral:rRNA from 1 species
UGAGGAAUAUUGGUCAAUGGGAGCAAUCCUGAACCAGCAAUGCCGCGUGUGGGAUGACAGGGCUUCGCCUUGUAAACCACUGUCGGAUGGGACGAGAGGGAGCCUUGGGCUCCUGGGACGGUACCAUCAAAGGAAGGGUCGGCUAACUACGUGCCAGCAGCCGCGGUAAUACGUAGGACCCGAGCGUUGUCCGGAUUCACUGGGUAUAAAGGGUGCGUAGGCGGUCUUGUGCGUCAGAGGUGAAAUAUCCGGGCUUAACCCGGAGGGUGCCUUUGAUACGGCAGGACUUGAGUCCGAGAGAGGAUGAUGGAAUUCCUGGUGUAGCGGUGAAAUGCGUAGAUAUCAGGAGGAACACCGGUGGCGAAGGCGGUCAUCUGGCUCGGAACUGACGCUGAGGCACGAAAGCGCGGGGAUCAAACAGG